UCUAACGUGGACCCGUAAUCCGGGUUGCGGACAGUGUCUGGUGGGUAGUUUGACUGGGGCGGUCUCCUCCUAAAGAGUAACGGAGGAGCACGAAGGUUGGCUAAUCCUGGUCGGACAUCAGGAGGUUAGUGCAAUGGCAUAAGCCAGCUUGACUGCGAGCGUGACGGCGCGAGCAGGUGCGAAAGCAGGUCAUAGUGAUCCGGUGGUUCUGAAUGGAAGGGCCAUCGCUCAACGGAUAAAAGGUACUCCGGGGAUAACAGGCUGAUACCGCCCAAGAGUUCAUAUCGACGGCGGUGUUUGGCACCUCGAUGUCGGCUCAUCACAUCCUGGGGCUGAAGUAGGUCCCAAGGGUAUGGCUGUUCGCCAUUUAAAGUGGUACGCGAGCUGGGUUUAGAACGUCGUGAGACAGUUCGGUCCCUAUCUGCCGUGGGCGCUGGAGAACUGAGGGGGGCUGCUCCUAGUACGAGAGGACCGGAGUGGACGCAUCACUGGUGUUCGGGUUGUCAUGCCAAUGGCACUGCCCGGUAGCUAAAUGCGGAAGAGAUAAGUGCUGAAAGCAUCUAAGCACGAAACUUGCCCCGAGAUGAGUUCUCCCUGACUCCUUGAGAGUCCUGAAGGAACGUUGAAGACGACGACGUUGAUAGGCCGGGUGUGUAAGCGCAGCGAUGCGUUGAGCUAACCGGUACUAAUGAACCGUGAGG
rnacentral:rRNA from 1 species